rnacentral:rRNA from 1 species
GUGUCAGCAGCCGCGGUAAUACAGAGAUGGCAAGCGUUGUUCGGAAUCACUGGGCUUAAAGCGCGUGUAGGCGGAGCGAUAGGCGCCUUGUGAAAUCCCUCGGCUCAACCGAGGAACUGCUUGGCGAACCGGCGCUCUUGAGGCAGGUAGAGGUAACUGGAACCAUAGGUGGAGCGGUGAAAUGCGUAGAGAUCUAUGGGAACGCCGGUGGCGAAAGCGAGUUACUGGGCCUGUUCUGACGCUGAGACGCGAAAGCGUGGGUAGCAAACAGGAUUAGAUACCCGUGUAGUCC